rnacentral:lncRNA from 1 species
AACCCUAAUCAUUAAGCAAUCUGAUCAAAACUUGAUUCACAAUGUUGGUCAGGUGAGUGAGAUCGAUGAGAGGGAUAUGUCAUUAACUCGUUAUAGACUCAAUCUGUGCGAGUAGCUUUCAAUUAAAAACCAUCGAUCAAGACUGCCAAACUUACCUUAGACACCAACUAGUUAAUCAGUUUCAAUUGGAUCUACUUAUGGAUUUGGGUUCAAUCGCUGAGCUCAAUAUC